GACGAACGCUGGCGGCGUGCUUAACACAUGCCAGUCGAACGAAGAGCGAUGGAAGCUUGCUUCUAUCAAUCUUAGUGGCGAACGGGUGAGUAACGCGUAAUCAACCUGCCCUUCAGAGGGGGACAACAGUUGGAAACGACUGCUAAUACCGCAUACGAUCUAAUCUCGGCAUCGAGGAUAGAUGAAAGGUGGCCUCUACAUGUAAGCUAUCACUGAAGGAGGGGAUUGCGUCUGAUUAGCUAGUUGGAGGGGUAACGGCCCACCAAGGCGAUGAUCAGUAGCCGGGCUGGGAGGAUGAACGGCCACAUUGGGACUGAGACACGGCCCAGACUCCUACGGGAGGCAGCAGUGGGGAAUCUUCCGCAAUGGACGAAAGUCUGACGGAGCAACGCCGCGUGAGUGAUGACGGCCUUCGGGUUGUAAAGCUCUGUUAAUCGGGACGAAAGGCCUUCUUGCGAAUAGUGAGAAGGAUUGACGGUACCGGAAGAGAAAGCCACGGCUAACUACGUG
rnacentral:rRNA from 1 species